AACGAACGCUGGCGGCAUGCCUAACACAUGCAAGUCGAACGAUCCCUUCGGGGAUAGUGGCGCACGGGUGCGUAACGCGUGGGAACCUGCCCUUAGGUUCGGAAUAACUCAGAGAAAUUUGAGCUAAUACCGGAUAAUGUCUUCGGACCAAAGAUUUAUCGCCUUUGGAUGGGCCCGCGUUGGAUUAGCUAGUUGGUGGGGUAAAGGCCUACCAAGGCGACGAUCCAUAGCGGGUCUGAGAGGAUGAUCAGCCACACUGGGACUGAGACACGGCCCAGACUCCUACGGGAGGCAGCAGUGGGGAAUAUUGGACAAUGGGCGAAAGCCUGAUCCAGCAAUGCCGCGUGAGUGAUGAAGGCCUUAGGGUUGUAAAGCUCUUUUACCCGGGAUGAUAAUGACAGUACCGGGAGAAUAAGCCCCGGCUAACUCCGUG
rnacentral:rRNA from 1 species